rnacentral:rRNA from 1 species
GACGAACGCUGGCGGCGUGCUUAACACAUGCAAGUCGAACGAUGAAGCUAGGGCUUGCUCUGGUGGAUUAGUGGCGAACGGGUGAGUAACACGUGAGUAACCUGCCCCGAACUCUGGGAUAACUGCUGGAAACGGUAGCUAAUACCGGAUAUGACCAAUGAAGGCAUCUUCUGUUGGUGGAAAGAAUUUCGGUUCGGGAUGGACUCGCGGCCUAUCAGCUUGUUGGUGAGGUAACGGCUCACCAAGGCGACGACGGGUAGCCGGCCUGAGAGGGUGGUCGGCCAGACUGGGACUGAGACACGGCCCAGACUCAUACGGGAGGCAGCAGUGGGGAAUAUUGCACAAUGGGCGCAAGCCUGAUGCAGCAACGCCGCGUGAGGGACGACGGCCUUCGGGUUGUAAACCUCUCUUAGUAGGGAAGAAGCGAAAGUGACGGUACCUGCAGAAAAAGCACCGGCUAACUACGUGCCAGCCGCCGCCGUAA